rnacentral:rRNA from 1 species
UACGGGGGGUGCGAGCGUUGUCCGGAAUCACUGGGCGUAAAGGGCGCGUAGGCGGCUCGGUAAGCGUGUGGUGAAAGCCUGGGGCUCAACCCCGGGUCGGCCAUGCGAACUGUCGAGCUGGAGCACUGUAGAGGCAGGCGGAAUUCCGGGUGUAGCGGUGGAAUGCGUAGAGAUCCGGAAGAACACCGGUGGCGAAGGCGGCCUGCUGGGCAGUAGCUGACGCUGAGGCGCGACAGCGUGGGGAGCAAACAGG